UGUGCAAUCUAGGUUCUUUGCCCAACUUGGGUAAAUGGGCAGCCAAAAGAGGCCCAAUACCAACAGUUUUUCAUGAGAGAUGAAGAGUUAUAUAACUGCUGCAAUUAAUGCCUUUAUAACUACCAGUAGAAAUUCAAGAGACAAUGGGCAACUAUUAGGAUCACCUUACAAUCAUUAGGCAUUCAUGAUGGCUUAUUAUUAUGUGAUAGUGGGUGAGUUGAUGGGUGGUUGGUGGUAAGUUAGUGUAGGUUAGAUUCAAUAUAUUUAGAAGUCUAUAAAUUGUGAGGAUGACUUAGGCCAAAGUAAAGAAAAAGAAAAAUAGGUAAAAACACAAGAGGAGUUGUAUAUUGUAAUCAUAUUUUUCUAAGUAGUGGAGUACUUAAUUUUUUUGGGAACCUCUACCUCUCUCUCUUCCCUCGUUUUGCAUACUUAGUUGUAGGGCGCGUAGGUCCAUUCUAGCAACAAGGAGCAAGACUUGCUCAUUUUCGAGCAGGAAGGUAGGCACCGCACCGACUUUGCGAAUAAAAAUGCUACGACCUUGACAGUUGGUAUCAGAGCCGAUUCGAGGAGGAACCAUGUCAUCAUCGGAUGCUGCUGUCAUCGAUGUAAUUGCUGAGCCUCUGAAGCAGACCAACCAGAAAAGGAGCAAGGAGCUGUAAGAAUUUAUCCGGCACAAAAAUCGCAGCGGAAAAUAAAAUUGUAUUUUCGAAAACCAAAAAUCCAUAUCACAUAUGAACCAAAAUAAAACAAAUCAAUCCAGUGCCGGUGGAUCAUUCUCAUGUUGCAAUGUAAAAUAAAAUCUAACCUAAACAGAUUUAAAGUUCAUGUUACAUUACCUCGGACCAGUUAAGGUCUCUUGAUCUACUGUACGGUUGAAAUUGAGAUUCCGAUUAGCCGCGCACGUGCCCGGCCUCUACGUGUAUCCACACGGAAUUGAUCUAGAUCCAACGCCUUCCGUCGCACGGAACUGAUGAGCCGCAGAUUACCAAGACGGUGCUAGCAGUCUUGUAAUAUCCACGUUCCCUCUUGUGAGAUGUACUGAUUUUUAGAAGAUCUAAUAGAGACGGAUUAUAUUAUUUUUCUUUCUUCUUCUGAGCUUAUAAAAAAUUAUCCUCGCUUGUAUAGAUAUGUAUAUAUAUAUCUAUAUAUGUUAAUUAACUCCAUCCAUCAAGCAUAAUGUAUACGUGGGCAACAACUUAACUAAUUAAGCCGCAGCUCACGUACACCAUCUCAGCGUACAAAUUGGCACCCUCGCAAUCUGUUGCAACCAAUUAGAUCAUAUCCAAUUAGUUGCUAUACUAAUUUGAUCACAUCCAAUUAGUUGCUGCAUAGGAUAAUUAAACAGUAAAUUUAUGUUUAUCCAUAUGGAUAUUUUAUCUUUAUCCUUCUCUUUAAAUUAGAUCUUAUCCAUUAUAAUUAAAUAUUCAUACUUAAGUCUAAUCUCAUUAGAAUAUUAUUAUCUCAUAAUAAUUUGUGAAUAUUUAAUUAUUCUCUAAUCUAAUUAGAGAUUAAAUCUAUCGUAACAUUCAAAUUAUAAUUCUCACUAUUUUCACUAAACUAUUUAGUGUAUUAAUUAGACUCAUCUUAUCAAAUUGGAUGCACACAAUUCCCAUUGUGUGUGACCGCGUAGGUCCAUUAUCAUUCGGCAGUGGAAUUCAAUAUUAAACUCUUUAAUAUUGAAUUAGAACUCUUCUAAUCUAUGAAAUAAUUUAUUUUAAAUUAUUUCAGCUUCUCACUGUCCGUGAGUGACACCUAGCAGUAUAUCACGGUAAUCCAGAAUGAUGAUGAAAAAUGAACCUUUCCGCUAUCAGUUAUCGUGUGAUUAAUUCCUUCCAACACAACGUUCCGAUCGAACUAAAAUUAUGAUUACUCGCCAAAUCUUAUUAUUCGAUCAUAUGACUAGAAUAUCUAAAACUGACUCAAUAUGGUAACACAGCUGGAAACUCUUUCCACACACCACGUACCCUGGCCAAGGAUUUUUCGAGUCAAGUUCGACAGUCUACAUAGGACGUUCUCUCUCACUAUUGAGAGUGUUGAAUUCCUUAUUGCGCAUUCAUAUGCCUCCCUAUAUAAACUACUACAGCCAAUCAGUACCAGACAUAGACCAAUGAUUAGAGUCUAAGUAUUAGUACAGUUAAACAGUAGCAAUCUACAUGUGAAGCAACCAUGAUGCCUCAGGUCUAAGGAGUACUUCACACAACUGUAGCAAAGAACUAGUCACUGGCGAAUUCGGAACCAUGUGACUGUUCAACUAAAUGGUCACGCUCAGUGUACUUGUUCUCUAACAAGCACCUGCAUGCUUACUUUAGUGUCCCUACACUAAUGACUUGAGCUUCGUCACCUCAACUUAGAAGUAUAGCAUACACCGGCCUAUCCGGAAAUAUCAUCGUCCUUAUGAUAUUCCUAUGGCUAGGAGCAUUUAAGAAUCUUGUACAAAGAAAUAUAUAUCUCAAAUUCCUAACUCUUAGGAAUAUAUUUUCUUAACAAAGAUUCAAUGGACGAUUCAUAUAAAUGUAUUGUACUGCUAACAAUAAAUAUGAAUAAAGCUUGCCCUUUAUUAAUUAAGAAAAAUACUUAAUAUGUUCACUAGCCUGUGUCACCGAUUGGCUUUAGGGUAUAUCACUAACAAUCUCCCACUUACACUAAUGCAAAUCGCUCAUGUAUCUCAUACCCAUUCUUUCUAAAUGCACAUCCAGCUUUUGAAGUGUGAGCGGCUUAGUAAGGGGAUCCGCUAUAUUGUCUACGGAUGCUACUUUCUGCACAACAAUCUGACGCUCAUCUAUAAAUUGUCGGAUGAUGUGGUAGCGUCGAUCUAUAUGCUUGGACUUCUGGUGAGACCUCGGUUCUUUAGCUUGCGCUAUAGCUCCAUUAUUGUCACAGUAAAGUGGCAUUGGCUCCUCAAUAGAAGGCACCACUCCUAGUUCCGUGACGAAUUUUCGAAGCCAAACUGCCUCCUUUGAUGCCUCAGAUGCUGCAAUGUACUCUGCCUCAGUAGUGGAAUCUGCUGUUGUAUUCUGUUUGGAACUCUUCCAAAUGAUAGCCCCACCAUUCAAUAUGAAGACAUGCCCUGAUGUUGACUUUCUAUCAUCAACAUCUGACAUGAAGUCUGAAUCUGUGAAGCCUUCUAACGUUAGCUCAUUUCCACCAUACACUAGACACAAAUCCUUAGUUCUUCUCAAGUACUUAAAGAUAUUCUUCACAGCAGUCCAGUGCUCUUCACCUGGAUUAGACUGAUAUCUGCUCGUAACACUUACGGCAUGUGCGAUAUCUGGUCUUGUACAUAGCAUAGCGUACAUGAGACUUCCUAUUGCGGAAGCAUAGGGAAUUCUGCUCAUACGCUCUCUUUCCUCAGGUGUUUUAGGACACAUCAUCUUGGAAAGAUUAAUUCCAUGUCUAAGAGGAAGAAGACCCCUUUUGGAAUUUUCCAUGUUGAACCUCUUCAACACAUCUUCUAUGUACAUCUGCUGUGACAAACCGAUCAACCUCUUAGAUCUAUCUCUAUAGACCUUAAUGCCGAGGAUAUAGGCUGCCUCUCCUAGAUCUUUCAUCAAGAAAUUCUGGGACAACCAAACCUUGACAGAGGUCAUCAAACUUGCAUCAUUUCCGAUCAAUAGAAUGUCGUCCACGUACAAUACGAGAAAGACAAGUUGGCUCCCACUGGUCUUCUUGUAAACACAAGGUUCAUCUUGAUUUCUCAUGAAGCCAAACGUUUUGACUGCAUCAUUGAACCGUAUGUUCCAACUCCUCGAAGCCUGCUUCAAUCCAUAAAUGGAUCUCUGAAGCUUGCAUACUUUAUGUUUCUGGCUAUUGGACACAAAUCCCUCAGGCUGCUGCAUAUAUAUGUCCUCCUCUAUGAAUCCAUUGAGGAAAGCAGUUUUUACGUCCAUUUGCCAGAUCUCAUAAUCAUAGUAUGCGGCUAUGGCAAGUAAUGUUCGCAUGGAUUUAAGCAUGACCACAGGAGAGAACGUUUCUUUAUAGUCGAGACCUUCUCGUUGACUGUAGCCUUUUGCUACAAGUCUCGCCUUGUAUGUCUCUACUUUUCCAUCCACACCAAUCUUUUUCUUGAAAAUCCAUUUACAACCAAUAGGUACUAUACCUUCUGGCGGAUCAACAAGAGUCCAUACGUGAUUGGUAUACAUUGAGUCCAUUUCGGACUUCAUAGCUUCUUGCCAUUUUAUUGAGUCGAUGUCUAACAUCGCCUCUUCGUAACUAGUAGGAUCAUCCCUGCGAUCACUAUCGCCAAUGAGGAACAUUUCCUUUGUGCAUUCCAUAACGAAAUCUCGAUAUUUCUCUGGAGGUUGGGAUAUUCUACCAGAUCUUCGAGGUAAUUGUGUAAUAGUGGGUUCAGUUUGAAUAGCUUGUUCAAAUUGUUCUUGAGAAAUUGUUUGCUCAUUUGAGACCAUCUCUUUUAGCACUAUCUCGUUUCCGGCACCACCUUCUUGGAUAAACUCUUUUUCCAAAAAUAUUGCAUGUCGGCUAACAAUCACGUUUUGUUCACUUUGAAGAUAAAAAUAGUAUCCCAUAGACUCCUUGGGAUAACCAAUAAAUCUUCCUUUAUCCGACCUAGCCUCCAAUUUAUCUGUUUUAAGUUUUUUAACAAAAGCCGGGCAUCCCCAAAUCCUUAAAUGAUUGAGACCCAGUUUUUUGCCAAACCACAUCUCAUGCGGGGUACAAGGAACAGAUUUUGAAGGCACCCUGUUUAGAAUAUAGGCUGCGGUUAAUAGAGCAUAACCCCAAAGAAAUAAAGGUAAGUCUGUGAAGCUCAUCAUCGAUCGUACCAUAUCUAAUAAAGUACGAUUUCUUCUUUCUGAAACUCCAUUCAAUUCCGGAGUUCCAGGAGGUGUCUAUUGUGAGAGAAUACCGUUUUCUCUGAGAUAAUUUAAAAAUUCAGUACUAAGGUAUUCGCCUCCUCGAUCUGAUCGAAGAGCCUUAAUACUUUUUCCUGUUUGCUUCUCUACUUCAUGUCUGAAUUCUUUGAACUUUUCAAAGGUUUCAGACUUGUGUUUCAUAAGAAACACAAACCCAUACCGUGAAUAAUCAUCGGUAAAAGUCACAAAGUAAAGAUAACCACCCCGAGCCGUUUCACUAAACGGUCCACACUCAUCCGAGUGUAUAAGGGCAAGUAACUCUGUGGCUCGCUCUCUUUGUCCAACAAAGGGUGACUUGGCCAUUUUGCCUUGAAGACAAGACUCACAAACUGGAUAGGAUUCUAAAACACAAGUUCGCAAGUGCCCAUCCUUGGCCAGUCGGUUUAUCCUAUCUUCUUCAAUGUGACCUAGUCGUAGGUGCCAUAGAUACUUUUGGUUCAGACUAUUAUCUCUAGGUCUCUUCUCUUUAUGUUCAAUAUUAGCAACAUUUCCAUCCAGAUUUAGAAAGUAGAGAUUGUUAACUAAACUACCAGUAGCUAUCAAUUUAUUUUGGAAAUAAAUAAAACAACCAUUAGUUUCAAAAAUAAAACGAUAACCAGUUCGUACUAAAGUUGUAACCGAAAUCAAAUUCCUAACAACUAAAGAAGAAUAAUAACAAUUCUCUAAUUCUAAAAUAUGUCCAGAUGGAAGUCUCAAAGAACAGCUCCCUACGGCUAACACAGCAACACUUGCUCCAUUUCCCACACGCAGGGUCACCUCGCCGUCCUUCAGUGUUCUACUUCCCUUUAGAUCCUGCAAUGAAUUACAAAGAUGUAAGGUGCAUGCAGAAUCUAAUACCCAAGAAGAAGUAGAGCCAAUCAUAUUGGCCUCAACGAUGAGCAUUUCGUUCGUACCUUCAGAAGGCCCCUCCUUCAAUUUUUCUUUUAGGCUAGAAAGAUAUUCUUUACAAUUUCUCUUCCAAUGCCCAUCCUUACCGCAAUGGAAACAUUUUCCUUUAGCCUUGCCAUUGUCGGAUUUCUUGAAAUUUGCUUUCUUCACUCCACCCGAUGACUUGAACUUAGGAAACUUUUUCUUUCCUUUGAACUUUCCUUUUGAAGCUCUUUCAACCGCCAUCGCCAUCCCGUUUGUCUUCAAUGUGCCUUCCGCUGUGAUUAGCAUAUUCAUAAGCUCGGACAAAGUGGCAUGAAUCCUAUUCAUGUUGAAGUUCAUAACAAAAUGAGAGAACGAUUCUGGCAAAGACUGUAGAACUAGAUCGAUCUGCAAGUCCGCGUCCAAGUUCAAGCCGAGAUUUUUCAGCUGCUCCAUGUCGUCAAUCAUUUUGAGACAAUGUUCACUGACCGACGUGCCUGGAGUCAUCUGAGCUUUAAACAAUCGCUUUGAUAUCUCAUAUCUUGCGGUUCGGCUUUGUGCACCAUACAACUCUUGUAAGUGCGCAAGCAUCUCAUAUGCUCGAGUAUAGUUCUCAUGCUGCCGUUGCAGCUCAUUCGACAUAGAGGCCAGCAUGUAAUAUUUAACACGCUGGUCAUCAUCAACCCACAUGUCUCUCUCCUCAACUUCUUCAGUUGUGGCUUCAGCGGUAAGCUCGGGAAUUGGAGCUUGAAGAACAUAAUCAAGCUUUUCAAUACCUAAAACAAUUUUUAGGUUACGAAGCCAGUCUUGGAAAUUAGGGCCGGUUAAUCGGUUAGAUUCCAUUAUGCGAGAAAGAGGGUUAGAGGCAUUCAUUUUGUCUGCAGAAAGUAGAGAUUUUAGUUAGAUAAGUAAUUUUUUCUUUUUAACCAAUUAAACCAGGGUCUAUUAGUUUAAAAGGUUCCUCCCACUAAUUUUAUCGAAUUUCUACACUCCCUAAGUAGAAAGACGGAAAUCCUCAUCCGUUAGAUUUCUUAGUGGCGAUUGGGGUUUCAUAAAUUACGACUCACCUCACCGGACAGUUUCUUGGAAAACCGUAAUUUAAUGAACGGGUAACAUCUUACCUCGACACAUCUUAUGUGCAAUCCAAUCGUCCUUUGGCCUCUAAGAUUUUUACGCCUCACCGGACGGUUUCUUGGCGCAACAACCUCAGUUAAGUCUAAUCCUCCUCUCCUACAAAUAUGGAAUUAUCAAAAGACCCUCACCGGACGGUUUCUUGGAUCCAUUGAUAAUGCCAUAUUGUAGCAUCUUAUGUCAAGAUGUUCGCAUAGUUCAAACACAAGUAGCCCCAUGGGACCAUGCGUGACUACUCAAUGCUGAAACAAUGCUACAUCUUGUGAUCGGUGGAAGGCCACGAUAGAGCAUCAAAUGCCCCUUCGUUUCAACUUAAUAUUUUAUAGAGAGUUUUAAAAUUAUAUAUCGGUCUCAUCAUCACAUGUUAUAUCUCAUAUAAAAUUAAUCACAUGUAUCACAUACACAAAAAUAAAUUGCAUAGUUUAGGGAUGAUCAUGGACUUUUCUGAUUCGACUCGAGCCGAUGAGUCAAAUCGGUCUAUAGGGUGAUACACACAUAUUCUCAACAAUUGCAAAUAUUAAGCCCUCUUCUUCUGUUGGAUUUGAUACAUCCUUUGAUGCCAUCACGAUUUGCGACGCCAAUCCAUCAACGCUUGAUGUGGAUUCUUCUCCAAAUAAUCCUAAUUUUAUCUAAUAAAAAUACAAGGAUUCGUAGAUCCCAAUAAAAUGGCACGCAGGCCCUUCGUGAUAAAAAAAUAUAUACAACCAUAAUUAAAUUACAAAUACACCCAUAAUCAAAUUACAAAUACAUCCAUAAUCACAUUACAAAUACAUCCAUAAUCACAUCACAGAAGUCUAAGGUCCAUGAUCAUCACCCAUCUAAAAACUAUGCAGAAAAUAAUAACCAAAUCGAUCUAAUCAUCGAUUAAAAAAUUAGAACUCAAUAAUAUGUUUUUCUCAUGUCUCCACGUAUUUAUUUUAUGGUGUGAAACCAAUAAAUCACACUACGUGCAACUUAAGAAAAACAAUAUCGAUCUCAUCGAAAACAGUUCCAAAAUUUCAAUCAAACCAUACAGAUCGUAAAUAUUUUACAUAGAACAUGAGAAUCGGCUCUGAUACCACUGUAAGAAUUUAUCCGGCACAAAAAAUCGCAGCGGAAAAUAAAAUUGUAUUUUCGAAAAACAAAAAUCCAUAUCACAUAUGAACCAAAAUAAAACAAAUCAAUCCAGUGCCGGUGGAUCAUUCUCAUGUUGCAAUGUAAAAUAAAAUCUAACCUAAACAGAUUUAAAGUUCAUGUUACAUUACCUCGGACCAGUUAAGGUCUCUUGAUCUACUGUACGGUUGAAAUUGAGAUUCCGAUUAGCCGCGCACGUGCCCGGCCUCUACGUGUAUCCACACGGAAUUGAUCUAGAUCCAACGCCUUCCGUCGCACGGAACUGAUGAGCCGCAGAUUACCAAGACGGUGCUAGCAGUCUUGUAAUAUCCACGUUCCCUCUUGUGAGAUGUACUGAUUUUCAGAAGAUCUAAUAGAGACGGAUAAUUAUAUUAUUUUUCUUUCUUCUUCUGAGCUUAUAAAAAAAUUAUCCUCGCUUAUAUAGAUAUAUGUAUAUAUAUAUAUCUAUAUAUCUUAAUUAACUCCAUUCAUCAAGCAUAAUGUAUACGUGGGCAACAACUUAACUAAUUAAGCCGCAGCUCACGUACACCAUCUCAUAGUAGAGCCGUACAAAUUGGCACCCUCGCAAUCUGUUGCAACCAAUUAGAUCAUAUCCAAUUAGUUGCUAUACUAAUUGGAUCACAUCCAAUUAGUUGCUGCAUAGGAUAAUUAAACAGUAAAUUUAUGUUUAUCCAUAUGGAUAUUUUAUCUUUAUCCUUCUCUUUAAAUUAGAUCUUAUCCAUUAUAAUUAAAUAUUCAUACUUAAGUCUAAUCUCAUUAGAAUAUUAUUAUCUCAUAAUAAUUUAUGAAUAUUUAAUUAUUCUCUAAUCUAAUUAGAGAUUAAAUCUAUCGUAACAUUCAAAUUAUAAUUCUCACUAUUUUCACUAAACUAUUUAGUGUAUUAAUUAGACUCAUCUUAUCAAAUUGGAUGCACACAAUUCCCAUUGUGUGUGACCGCGUAGGUCCAUUAUCAUUCGGCAGUGGAAUUCAAUAUUAAACUCUUUAAUAUUGAAUUAGAACUCUUCUAAUCUAUGAAAUAAUUUAUUUUAAAUUAUUUCAGCUUCUCACUGUCCGUGAGUGACACCUAGCAGUAUAUCACGGUAAUCCAGAAUGAUGAUGAAAAAUGAACCUUUCCGCUAUCAGUUAUCGUGUGAUUAAUUCCUUCCAACACAACGUCCCGAUCGAACUAAAAUUAUGAUUACUCGCCAAAUCUUAUUAUUCGAUCAUAUGACUAGAAUAUCUAAAACUGACUCAAUAUGGUAACACAGCUGGAAACUCUUUCCACACACCACGUACCCUGGCCAAGGAUUUUUCGAGUCAAGUUCGACAGUCUACAUAGGACGUUCUCUCUCACUAUUGAGAGUGUUGAAUUCCUUAUUGCGCAUUCAUAUGCCUCCCCAUAUAAACUACUACAGCCAAUCAGUACCAGACAUAGACCAAUGAUUAGAGUCUAAGUAUUAGUACAGUUAAACAGUAGCAAUCUACAUGUGAAGCAACCAUGAUGCCUCAGGUCUAAGGAGUACUUCACACAACUGUAGCAAAGAACUAGUCACUGGCGAAUUCGGAACCAUGUGACUGUUCAACUAAAUGGUCACGCUCAGUGUACUUGUUCUCUAACAAGCACCUGCAUGCUUACUUUAGUGUCCCUACACUAAUGACUUGAGAUUCGUCACCUCAACUUAGAAGUAUAGCAUACACCGGCCUAUCCGGAAAUAUCAUCGUCCUUAUGAUAUUCCUAUGGCUAGGAGCAUUUAAGAAUCUUGUACAAAGAAAUAUAUAUCUCAAAUUCCUAACUCUUAGGAAUAUAUUUUCUUAACAAAGAUUCAAUGGACGAUUCAUAUAAAUGUAUUGUACUGCUAACAAUAAAUAUGAAUAAAGCUUGCCCUUUAUUAAUUAAGAAAAAUACUUAAUAUGUUCACUAGCCUGUGUCACCGAUUGGCUUUAGGGUAUAUCACUAACAGGAGCCGCAGUCACUCAGAAAGGAGGUCGCAUCCUUGAAAUACCGUGCCUGGUUGCAAGAGGAUAUUACGACGAAAAUGGAGGAGCAGUUCUCUGUAUUUCUGCAAACUGUGAGUUUGUUGGAUAAUGAGCUUCACUUGAUGGAGAAGGAUAUUGUUACAGCUAUGGCAACAUUCCGCUAUCGUGUGAAGCAGUUUAAGACGGAUCUUGCCCGUCACAAUGAUGAGCGGAAUGUGCGAGAUGUGCUGCUUCAGGACAUUGGUGCCCAGGUCAAGGAGGUCGAGGACCUCAAGACAAGGGAGGCACUACGCAAGUGAACCGAGAGUAAUCAUGGCAAACUACCUAAGGUGAGCAAGGCUAAAGGUGGGAGAGAGUGUCAUGAUACAGGGGACGCAAAGGGGCACCAUCAAAGUUCAGGCCCAUCGACGAAGGAUCGGACCUUUACAAUCCCGUACCUUUGCGAGGAGGUGAAGUGUAGGAGGGCUGGGGGCCUCGAGAAGGACCUGAGUGAGGGUAAGAUUGAUAAGUCUCAAUCAAUGCUAGAGCAACUACCCAAGCGAGGGAAGCAUUGCACUAUCAAGCACAAAGCCAAGAAGGAGCCCGAGAGGACAAGGGAGUGUCCCGCAACUUGGCGGUGUGUACGUGUGUGUGUCGCGGCGAACAGGCACACUCGACGAUUUGGGCUCAACGAAAAAAUUAUCCACGCAGCGAGCUACUUGGUGUUUGCGUUCAGAGGUGUGAAGCACUAGGAACUGGUGCGGAAGUGAAGGGAGACUGCGGUAGCAAGGCUCGGGGCCGUUCGAGCGCGAAGGCUCGGCGGACUGCGCAGAAGGCUACACGGAUCGGGAGCAGCUUGGCGCCUGACGAGGGCGUCUGCGUGUUAGGUGGGGGAGAAUGUCAGGGACUUAGUGAAAUUGCUGUGCAAUCUAAGUCCUUUGCCCAACUUCGGUAAGUGGGCAGCUAAAGGAGGCCCAAAACCAGCAGCCUUUCAUAGGAGAUGAAGGGUUAUGUAACUACUGCAAUUAAUGCCUCUAUAACUGCGAGUGGAAAUCCAAGGGACAUGGGCAAUUCUUGGAUCACCUUACAAUCAUUAGGUAUUCAUGAUGGCUCAUUAUUAUAUGAUAGUGGGUGAGUUAAUGGGUGCUUAGUGGUGAGUUAGUGUAGGCUAGAUUCAAUGUAUCUAGGAGCCUAUAAAUUGUGAGGAUGGUUUAGCCUAAAGUAAAGAAGAAGGAAGAGAGGUGGAAACACAAGAAGAGUUGUGUAUUGUAAUCCUAUUUUCCUAAGUAGUAGAAUACUUAGUUUUUUUGGGAACCUCUGCCUCUCUCUCUUCUCUCCUUUUUGCAUACUUAGUCGUAGGGCAUGUAGGUCCAAGCUAGCAACAAGGAGCUAAGUUUGCCCAUCUUCGAACAGGAAGGCAGCGCUGCAUGCGUUUUGCGAACAAAAAUGCUAAAGCCGUGACAACUUGCUAUAAUACACCUCAUAUUACAGAAU
rnacentral:lncRNA from 1 species